AAUGAACGCUGGCGGCAUGCCUAACACAUGCAAGUCGAACGAAAGCACGAGAAGCUUUCUUCCCUGGUUUUAGAGUGGGACGGGUGAGUCACAUGUGGAUGAAAUAACUAUAAGACUGGGGUAACUUCGUGGAACCGUAGCUUAUACCCGAAAAUCUUUUGAACCGCAAGGUGCAAGAGUUAAAGACGCUCUUGCUUUGGCUUAUAGCUGAAUCCGCCCUCCAUUAGCUAGUUGGUAAGGUAACGGCUUACCCAGGCAACGAGGCAUAGCCGACCUGAGAGGGUGAACGGCCACACUGGAACUGAGACACGGUCCAGACUCCUACGGGAGGCAGCAGUCGGGAAUCUUACGCAAUGGGGGAAAGCCUGACGGAGCAAAGCCGCGUGAGUGAUGAAGGUCUUCGGAUCGUAAAGUGCUGUUAGCAGGGAAGAAGAUAUGUGUAUUUACCCGUGCACAUAUUGACGGUACCUGAUGAGAAAGCCACGGCUAACUCCGUG
rnacentral:rRNA from 1 species